AUUGAACGCUGGCGGCAUGCCUUACACAUGCAAGUCGAACGGCAGCGCGGGGCAACCUGGCGGCGAGUGGCGAACGGGUGAGUAAUAUAUCGGAACAUACCCUAGAGUGGGGGAUAACGUAGCGAAAGUUACGCUAAUACCGCAUACGCACUAAGGUGGAAAGUGGGGGAUUCGCAAGAACCUCAUGCUCAUGGAGUGGCCGAUAUCUGAUUAGCUAGUUGGUGAGGUAAAGGCUCACCAAGGCGACGAUCAGUAGCUGGUUUGAGAGAACGACCAGCCACACUGGAACUGAGACACGGUCCAGACUCCU
rnacentral:rRNA from 1 species